rnacentral:tRNA from 2 species
AAGAAAGUACGCAAGAACUGCUAACUCAUGCAACCAUGUCUAAAAUCAUGGCUUUCUUA